CCUCAGAUCCACCAGAGUUCUCUCUUCCCCUUUUCUUCUCUCUCUUUUUCUCUUUCUCUUUUCAAGCCCCAGUCGGCUGCAAACCCUAUUCUGAAAUCCGUAACCCAUAAACCAAAUUCAAUUUUUGCAGGAAGAACAGAGCCGUGAAUCGAUUUUUCCAUUUGGGGUUUUUGAGAAACAGAGAGAAAAAGGGGCAAUGGAUUCGGAUCAGGGGAAGCUUUUUAUUGGUGGGAUUUCAUGGGAGACCUCUGAGGAUAAGUUAAAGGACCACUUCAACAGCUAUGGUGAAGUGAUGCAUACCGUUGUUAUGAGGGAUAAGAUCACUAGCAAACCUAGAGGGUUUGGAUUCGUUGUCUUUGCAGAUCCCUCUGUUCUUGAUCGAGUUCUCCAGGAUAAGCACACUAUAGAUGGUAAAACGGUUGAGGCUAAGAGGGCCUUAUCACGAGAGGAACAGCAGACCCCUGCGAGAGCGGGCAAUUUGAACGCUACUAGAAAUUCUGGUGGUGGAAAUAUGAGAACCAAAAAAAUUUUUGUUGGGGGAUUGCCUCCAACAUUGACUGAAGAGGGGUUUAAGGAGUAUUUUGAGACUUAUGGCGAUGUAACUGAUGUAGUAGUCAUGUACGAUCAAAAUACUAGGCGUCCACGGGGAUUUGGAUUUAUAUCUUUUGAUACUGAAGAAGCUGUUGACAGAGUUUUGCACAAGACAUUUCAUGAUUUGAAUGGUAAACAAGUAGAAGUUAAGCGUGCCCUUCCCAAAGAUGCCAAUCCAGGUGCAGGUGGCCGCUCGAUGGGUGGCAGUGCAAGCAGUGGUGGUUAUCAAACUUAUGGGUCAUCUGGUGGUGUCAAUUCAAAUUCAUAUGAUAGUCGUAUGGAUUCGAAUAGGUACAUGCAAUCUCAGGGCUCUAGUGGAGGUUUCCCACCUUAUGGUUCCUCUGGAUAUAACAAUCCCGGGUAUGGUUAUGGUUCAUCGAACAAUGGUAUGGGAUACGGUGGUUAUGGAAACUAUAGUGGUUCAAAUACUGGGUAUGGUGCCCCUUCUGCUGUUGCUUAUGGUAACCCAAAUGUCGCCAAUGCUGGUUAUGCAAGCGGUCCUCAAGGUGGACCUAGAAGUUCGUGGUCCGCUCAAGCUCCCUCUGGAUAUGGAGCCAUGGGCUAUGGGAAUGCAGCCCCGUGGGGAGGUGCCCCUGGGGGCAAUGCUGGAGCUGGCAGUGGUGGGCCUGGAUCUGCACCCACAGGUCAUUCUCCUGGUGGAGCUGCUGGGUAUGGCAAUCAGGGUUAUGGAUAUGGUGGGUUUGGGAAUCAAGGUUAUGGUUAUGGUGGAGGUGAUGGCUCGUAUGGGAGUCAAUCUGGUUACGGUACAGGUGGAGGACGUUCUGGUAGUGCCUCAAAUAGCAAUGUCGGGGGUGGUCCAAGUGGGGGAGAAUUACAAGGGAACAGUGGUGGUUACAUGAAUAGUGGCUAUGGCGAUGCUAAUGGAAACACUGGUUAUGGAAAUGCUGGUUGGAGAUCCGAUGGCGGACAAGUAGGUUAUACCGGUGGUUAUGGUGGUGGACAAGCUCGACAAUCUCAACAACAGUAAUUUGAUCAAAAGGAAACUGGAUGUUAGCAUGUUGUGUGUAUCUCCCUGUUUGUUUUACGAGAUCGAUGUUUUCCAGUUGCUUGUUAUAAAAUUUUUCUUCUUGUUCCUGACUGAAGCGGUGGCCCGAUUCGGAACACGAUGAGCCUGGAGGGAUGCUCGGAGUUGUAAAAGUGGAGUCCGUCAUGGCUGAACACAGGCUUCGUAGUGAAGGACCGAGUCGGGGAUGAUGCGUGUGUUCAGCAUUUAUGGACUUUUACCCCGAGAAAGAAUAUGUUCUUCUGUGAGGCCUUGUCGACUCGUACUCCCAAGUCUCUGGUAUUGUAAGUCAUGAGUUUUAUAGUUAAAUCCAUGCCUUCAAGAAUGAGUAGGUAAUGACUUGAGGUUCGUUCUUUGUUGAAGCAGAAUCCGAAACAUAAAGUGAAAACGUCGUAGCUCUCUCUCGUUUUCUGUUUUGCUGCUUCGAGGUCGACCGAAUGUCGUAAAGAACUCGGCUUUAGAACAUCUUUUUAGGUGAAAAUGGUAUUCCUUUUGGUGUUCAGUUUGGGUGAAGAUUGAAUGAAAAGUUUGCAUAUUUUCAACUUA